CUGUUCUGGCCUUGGCUACUUUCCUCGUCUGAAAAUCGCAGUUGGCGUAUAGACGAGAGGAACAAGAUGUCCCUGGACUAGCUGACAUUUUCGACUGCGGUUGCCCGGCUCAUCUCAAGAUGGCAGAUCUUCAGCCCUGAUUGGAGAGGAGGGCCCCAUCAUGCAUGAGCAAUCAACUCUCAAGGAUCAUCAAGGUGGUUCUGAUGAACGUCACAGUAUAGCGGGCUAUCGAUCGAAUGGCGAUACAUUAUGCAGUACCACGGCCACGAUUUCCCGCGAUGAAACUCUGCUACAACCAUUAACCUUCCUCAGACCCGAGGCAGAUGUUCUCGUCCAACGGUUAAAAAAGCAUUCAUGGUCAGAUUUAAUUUAAAGAGAACAAUUUUCUCCCAUCAUAUUCUAGACACCCAGCGGACUUUAAAAAAACUGAUAUUGGAUUGCCAUUGCGGUUCCGGUGCGCACUCGGGUUGCGUGGCGCACCUGUUACUUGUUUUGAGCCCCCAGAAACCACCUUGAAUACCUCGACAUGUGUUGCCAUCGGCAACAAGUGAACCAGCAGUCCAAUUUGGUAGAGACAGUGUUGUGUAAGAGUAUGGAAGCAAGUCAUUGGAAUAUGAUUAUACUUUUAAAUGGCAUGAAGUAACUGAAUAAAUUGAAUUGCAUCUUCUUAUUUUUGUUAUGUUUUGGAUUCAUCGUUUAAGCGAAGUUCCACAUAUGGUCGAGGUAAAGCGUAA
rnacentral:lncRNA from 1 species